CCUGUCUUGUCUCCCCAAGAGCUGACAGAGAAUCCAGGUGGCUGCUCUGUAACACUGGGGUGCUGUGGGCCUAGGGUACAAAUAACAGUGAUCGAUGCCUGCUGCCUGGGUGCCACACCUGGCCUCAUUUGCCUCAGCUUACCUUUGGCUGGAAGAUUGAUUCUGUGGCCCUCCUGAUUGAAGCAGGACAUGUGCCAGGCCUCACUCCCGUUGUGGUACCCAGACUCUGCCCACCAGCUGUGCUUCACCUGCCUGCGGAGGGCUGUUCCUGCUUGCCUAGUGAUGUGGACCAGCUCUGGUUUGGCCAACUCUACAGCUUCUCCACCAGGUAGACAUUACUGUACUAGCUGAUUCCUGAAUGAAGAUGAAAUGGAAUAGAACCACAGCCAACUCACAAUACACAUGUUGUGAGUGAAAAAUAUUUAUCAUUGUAAGUCACUAAGGGUUGGGAUGUUACUGCAGCAUAGCUUAGCUGAUACUGACAUAAUUAUUAUAAAUCCAAAGCUAGGAAUAAAUUGUAGGUGUGUCUAGACACUCUGUGGGAAUUAGGACUGCUCAGAGCAGCAGGUAAGAAGGGGAUGGAAAGCAUACUGAGGCAAGCCAGGCAUGAACACAAUACUAUAAUCUCUGCCUAGGACAGAUAUUCAAGUGAGGAUAUACCCA
rnacentral:lncRNA from 1 species